rnacentral:rRNA from 1 species
AUGGCUCCGUUGGGAGUGAAGAAGGAGAGGGCGGCGGAGUACAAGGGGCACAUGACGUUCGCCGUCGCCAUGGCGUGCAUCAUCGCGGCCAUCGGGGGUUCCAUCUUUGGCUACGAUAUCGGCAUCUCCGGAGUGAACACCAAGGACCCGUUCCUCCAGAAGUUUUUCCCCGUGGUGUUCCGGCGAAAAAACUCGGUCAGCCUAAACAACUACUGCAAGUACGACAACCAGGCUCUCUCCGCCUUCACCUCCAUCCUCUAUCUCGCCGGACAAGUCUCCACACUUGCAGCUGCACCGGUGACAAGGAACUACGGCCGCCGCGCGAGCAUUAUCUGUGGCGGAAUCAGCUUCCUCAUCGGCGCGGCCCUCAACGCCGCAGCUGUGGACCUCACAACUCUGAUCCUCGGCCGCAUCAUGCUUGGCAUCGGCAUCGGUUUCGGCAAUCAGGCUGUGCCGCUGUACUUGUCCGAGAUGGCGCCCGCGCACCUGCGCGGUGGGCUGAACAUGAUGUUCCAGCUCGCGACAACGCUUGGCAUCUUCUCGGCAAACAUGAUCAAUUACGGCACGCAGAAAAUCAAGCCAUGGGGGUGGCGCCUCUCGCUCGGCCUUGUGGCGGUGCUAGCGCUGCUGAUGAUGAUCGGCGGCGUCCUCCUUCCAGAGACGCCGAAUAGCCUCAUCGAGCGUGGGCACCUCGAGCGGCGCAUGCUGGUGCUGAUCCGCGGCACUGAAGACGUCAACGCUGAGUUCACUCACAUGGCGGAGGCGAGUGAGCUGGCCAACACCAUCAAGCACCCAUUUCGGAACAUCCUGGAGCGGCGCAACCGGCCGCAGCUGGUGAUGGCCGUGUGCAUGCCGGCGUUCCAGAUCCUAACGGGAAUCAACUCCAUCCUGUUCUACGCGCCCGUACUGUUCCGGAGCAUGGGCUUCGGCGCUAGCUGGUCCCUUUACUCCUCCAUGCUCAACGGCGGCGUGCUCUCGUUCUCCACGCUUAUUUCCAUCGCCACCGUCGACCGCCUUGGGAGGAGGAAGCUCCUCAUCAGUGGCGGCAUCCAGAUGAUUGUUUGUCAGGUCAUCGUGGCGGCGAUACUGGGGGUAAAGUUUGGUGCGGACAAGCAGCUGUUGCGGAGCUACUCCAUCGUGAUAUGCCUCUUCAUGCUCGCGUUCGGGUGGUCAUGGGGUCCGCUUGGGUGGACGGUGCCGAGCGAGAUCUUUCCGCUGGAGACGCGGUCGGCGGGGCAGAGCAUCACAGUGGCCGUCAACCUGUUCUUCACCUUCGUCAUCGCACAAUUGUUCCUGUCGCUGCUUUGUGCCUUCAAGUUCGCCAUCUUCAUCUUCUUCGCUAGCUGGAUAGCCCUCAUGACCGCCUUCGUCCAUGUCUUCAUGCCGGAGACCAAGGGCGUGCCCAUAGAGGAGAUGGUGAUGCUCUGGAGCAAGCAUAGGUUCUGGAAGAUCAUCAUGCCAGCAAUGCCGACCCUGCCGCUCGAGGACGGCUUGGGACCUAGUGACAUUGGUUAA